UACAGAGGUCUCGAGCGUUAGGCGGAAUCACUGGGCUUAAAGCGUGUGUAGGUGGAUGCCUAAGUACCUUGUGAAAUCCCACAGCUUAACUGUGGAACUGCUUGGUAUACUGGGUGUCUUGAGUCACUCAGGGGCGAGCGGAACAAAUGGUGGAGCGGUGAAAUGCGUAGAUAUCAUUUGGAACGCCAAUGGUGAAAACAGCUCGCUGGGGGUGCACUGACACUGAGACACGAAAGCCAAGGGAGCGAACGGG
rnacentral:rRNA from 1 species